AUUGACCGCUGGAGGCAGGCCUAACACAUGCAAGUCGAACGAGUGGCGGACGGGUGAGUAAUGUCUGGGAAACUGCCUGAUGGAGGGGGAUCACUACUGGAAACGGUAGCUAAUACCGCAUACCAUCGGAUGUGCCCAGAUGGGAUUAGCUAGUAGGUGGGGUAAAGGCUCACCUAGGCGACGAUCCCUAGCUGGUCUGAGAGGAUGACCAGCCACACUGGAACUGAGACACGGUCCAGACUCCUACGGGAGGCAGCAGUGGGGAAUAUUGCACGAUGGGCGCAAGCCUGAUGCAGCCAUGCCGCGUGUAUGAAGAAGGCCUUCGGGUUGUAAAGUACUUUCAGCGAGGGGGCGUUACCCGCAGAAGAAGCACCGGCUAACUCCGUACCAGCAGCCGCGGUAAUUC
rnacentral:rRNA from 1 species